rnacentral:rRNA from 1 species
UUCUUCGGAAUGAAGAUUUUAGUGACUGAGUGGCGGACGGGUGAGUAACGCGUGGGUAACCUGCCUCAUACAGGGGGAUAACAGUUAGAAAUGACUGCUAAUACCGCAUAAGACCACAGCACCGCAUGGUGCAGGGGUAAAAACUCCGGUGGUAUGAGAUGGACCCGCGUCUGAUUAGGUAGUUGGUGGGGUAACGGCCUACCAAGCCGACGAUCAGUAGCCGACCUGAGAGGGUGACCGGCCACAUUGGGACUGAGACACGGCCCAAACUCCUACGGGAGGCAGCAGUGGGGAAUAUUGCACAAUGGGGGAAACCCUGAUGCAGCGACGCCGCGUGAGCGAUGAAGUAUUUCGGUAUGUAAAGCUCUAUCAGCAGGGAAGAAAUGACGGUACCUGACUAAGAAGCACCGGCUAAAUACGUGCCAGCAGCCGCGGUAAUACGUAUGGUGCAAGCGUUAUCCGGAUUUACUGGGUGUAAAGGGAGCGCAGGCGGAAGGCUAAGUCUGAUGUGAAAGCCCGGGGCUCAACCCCGGUACUGCAUUGGAAACUGGUCAUCUAGAGUGUCGGAGGGGUAAGUGGAAUUCCUAGUGUAGCGGUGAAAUGCGUAGAUAUUAGGAGGAACACCAGUGG